rnacentral:rRNA from 1 species
UACGUAGGGGCAAGCGUUGUCCGGAUUUAUUGGGCGUAAAGAGCGUGUAGGCGGCCAAGCAGGUCAGCUGUGAAAACUCGAGGCUCAACCUCGAGACGUCGGUUGAAACCGCUUGGCUAGAGUCCGGAAGAGGAGAGUGGAAAUUCCCGGUGUAGCGGUGAAAUGCGCAGAUAUCGGGAAGAACACCCGUGGCGAAGGCGGCUCUCUGGGACGGUACUGACGCUGAGGCGCGAAAGCGUGGGGAGCAAACAGG